rnacentral:lncRNA from 1 species
GAACAGAGCAGCUGCAGGCAGGUAAAGGAAUCUCAGCAUGCUGCAAAGUGUAGAGGUCCCCACGUAGAGAGAUUACAGGCAGAAGCAAAAAGUGAUGGAGAGACAGUGGAAUCAGCCAGAAGCCGAAAGCACAAAGUUGCACAAGGAUGGCAUAGAGCUGGCUGGGUGAUGAGAUGGCAGAUGGGACCCAAUGUUAAUGAAUGCAAAGCAAUGCACGCAAGAGAAAAUAGCACUGACAAAACACACACAGCGGCAGGCUCUAAAUCAGCUGCUGCCUUUGAAGGGAUGCUGCAUUCAUUGUGGAUAAUUUGCUAGAAAUGCCAACUCAGUGCUCUGAGGGAGGCAAGAAAGCAAACAGGCUGCUGGAAAUACUAAACAAAAGAAGAAGAAGAAGAAGAAAACAUAAUAUAAAUGCAGCACGCAUGUGUACUUUGAACGGCCAUCUGCACUCUUGGGCAUCAAUUACCCCUAAGAAGCAACAGCACAAUGUAUAAACUUAAAGGCAUCAGAUGUCAGUGGAAAAGAGGCAGUUGGAGGGGACCCGGAAAGCAUCCAACAUCCAAAAUGUUCAUAGAAAACCAAGACCUUAGCUAUAAAUGAACCACAGCCAGAUGUGAACAUCAUCUAUCCUUCUGUUCCUGAAAAACAAGGAAGACAUCAGAAAAAAAAAAAACCAAAAAACCCCACUCUUUGGGUAACAUGUAAUGAGGAUGGUCAUGAGGGCAGCUGAGCAAACACCAGUUAGGAUCUGAUGGAUACAAACUGAAGCAGUUCUGGGAAACCUUGUCCUCUCUUCACUGCUUCAACUCAAGUGGCA